AUUGAACGCUGGCGGCAUGCCUUACACAUGCAAGUCGAACGGCAGCGGGCCUUCGGGUGCCGGCGAGUGGCGAACGGGUGAGUAAUGCAUCGGAACGUGCCAUUGAGUGGGGGAUAACGUAGCGAAAGUUACGCUAAUACCGCAUAUUCUGUGAGCAGGAAAGCAGGGGACCGCAAGGCCUUGCGCUCUUUGAGCGGCCGAUGUCAGAUUAGCUAGUUGGUGAGGUAAAGGCUUACCAAGGCGACGAUCUGUAGCGGGUCUGAGAGGAUGAUCGCCACACUGGAACUGAGACACGGUCCAGACUCCUACGGGAGGCAGCAGUGGGGGAAUUUUGGACAAUGGGCGCAAGCCUGAUCCAGCCAUGCCGCGUGAGUGAAGAAGGCCUCGG
rnacentral:rRNA from 1 species